rnacentral:lncRNA from 1 species
UUUAAAUUUUUAUUUUGACAUUUUUUUUUUGCAUGCCGAAUGCUAUAAAUUUUAUUUUGACAUUUUUUUUUGCAUGCUGAAUUGAUGUGCACGCAACUGCGUGUUGGCGUAUAGGGAGCUACGCGCCUGAAUACAAUUUAAUUAAAUAUAUUAAAUAACUGGGAAUCCUCCCCCUUUAUAAGUAGAGACAAUCCAUAACCUACAUCUCAGAAAUAUUAAUCUUAAAUUUAUAUAAAUGAAAAGUAAGCUUCCAUAAAUAAAAUUCAACAAUGUUUCUUAAAAUUGGUAAAAGUGGUUUAUAGUCAUACCCCAACAUGUUGACCAUAGAUAGACAAACAAUUCACUUGCAUUCGAUUCGCAUUUGAACUAUGUGUUUGUUAAUGUAAACCGUUUCAAAUGUGAAUUAAACUAAUUCAAAUUAGUUAAUGUCAAUCCAAUUCAAAUUAGGUGUGAACUCAGUAUGAUUGUCAGGUAGUUUCAAACUGAAAGAUACUUUUAAGGGAAGGGAAAGAAACGGAUAAAACCAUGUGUGUUACAAACACUGUUUAUUCAAGUCAGAAUCCUGGAUCUCAAUAGUACUUUCAUAAUGUCAAAUAAAAACAUGAAUAUGAU